rnacentral:rRNA from 1 species
GAUGAACGCUGGCGGCGUGCCUAAUACAUGCAAGUCGAGCGAACAGACGAGAGUGCUUGCACUCUCUGACGUUAGCGGCGGACGGGUGAGUAACACGUGGGUAACCUACCUAUAAGACUGGGAUAACUUCGGGAAACCGGAGCUAAUACCGGAUAAUAUUUAGCUUUGCAUGAAGCAAUAGUGAAAGACGGUUCUGCUGUCACUUAUAGAUGGACCCGCGGUGUAUUAGCUAGUUGGUGAGGUAACGGCUCACCAAGGCAACGAUACAUAGCCGACCUGAGAGGGUGAUCGGCCACACUGGGACUGAGACACGGCCCAGACUCCUACGGGAGGCAGCAGUAGGGAAUCUUCCGCAAUGGACGAAAGUCUGACGGAGCAAUGCCGCGUGAGUGAAGAAGGUUUUCGGAUCGUAAAACUCUGUUGUAAGGGAAGAACAAGUACGUUAGUAACUGAACGUACCUUGACGGUACCUUACCAGAAAGCCACGGCUAACUACGUG